rnacentral:rRNA from 1 species
GAUUAACGCUGGCGGCGUGCAUAACACAUGCAAGUCGAACGAUGAAACUUAGUAGACUUCUUCGGAAAGACAUUAAGCGGAUUAGUGGCGAACGGGUGAGUAACGCGUGAGUAACCUGCCUUACACAAGGGGAUAGCCUUUGGAAACGGAGAAUAAUACCCUAUAAAACCAUAAAAGCACAUGCUAGAAUGGUCAAAGUGAUAGCGGUGUAAGAUGGACUUGCGUCUGAUUAGCUAGUUGGUGAGAUAAAAGCUCACCAAGGCAACGAUCAGUAGCCGGCUUGAGAGAGUGUACGGCCACAUUGGGACUGAGACACGGCCCAGACUCCUACGGGAGGCAGCAGUGGGGAAUUUUGCACAAUGGGGGAAACCCUGAUGCAGCGACGCCGCGUGAUUUAGAAGGCCUUCGGGUUGUAAAAAUCUUUUGUAUAGGAAGAAAAUGACAGUACUAUACGAAUAAGGUCCGGCUAAUUACGUG